CUAAGUAAACAACAACAGCCCAGGUUUAGUAAACAUUUUUUUAUUGAAACUAUAAAUAAAUAUUCUGCAUCCAUUUUAGGUGUGCCACUGUGGGUGGCUCCCGCACACCCCCGUGGCUACGCCCCUGCCGUGACCCAAAUCUCGUUCUCACAUCAUCGCGAUGUUUAUCAUCUAUUUACAAACGUAGCCAGUCGCCACAUCUUUAUUAGCCUAUCCCCUGUAUGUCAUCGAUGCGCUACUUCAAAGAUGUGAGGAAAAGAACAUACACCUGCGAGUAGUCUGUUACAUUGCCUGUGUUAUUGCCUCACAUUUGCAGAAAUCAGGGGAGGGCAUAUCACACAACAUUGCCUUGGCCGUACCAGCAUUUCAUGUUUAUGGGCACAAAUUGCCCUGCCAGAUCAAGUACAGUACCAGAUGGCUUGAUGGGUUUGGGCUCACAGACGGGGAAGGAAUGGAAAGGCUGUGGUCUUUCCUCCAAAGAUUUGCCAGAGUCACAAAGGAGAUGACUCCAUCUCAUCGCCUUGACCUACUGACUGAUGCCCUUUUGCAUUAGGGACGGAGGAAAUCAACUGACCUAGGUGCAGCUACUGCAAAGAGUAGACAAAGCAGAGAAAAUAUUGAUUCUCGCUCCUCAAGAAGAUAUCUCAUCUGUCAUCAGAGAGGCACCAGGUAAACAAUGCACAUAAGAAGCAGUGUUGAUUUCUGAAGGAGACAUGGAGAGAUGGAAAAAAAGCUAGCCCAACAGAAACCAAUAAGUAAGGAACUGAAGUUAAAGUCUUAAAUACUACACUGUCUGUAGAUGGAAAAGGGACUACAUCAUCAGACUGAUUCAGUUCUACAAGUUCAAAAUUGAGGACUCUGCUGAACAUUGAGGAAAAAAUACUGUAUCGGGAGAAGAUGGCAAGAGUCUGAUUCAAACUUCCAGUCUACCCUUAAAGAUGUGGACCGUGAGCUCAGAGUCCAAAUGCAAGGCUAGACCUGAAUCAAGGGAGAGAGCAGUCGUCCUCCACCUGAGAAGAAUAUAUCCAGCUUUGCUUCAGAUGGGCAGGGCAUUGCCAUUAGACUCUCCAAGCAGGUAGCCAAUUGAUUUUCAGGAAUCAUGUGAUCCCUCUUGGCAUGUCUACUUCUGCUUUAAUGACACUAUUGAAGAAGAUGAUGUUUCGAGGAGUCUAAAAAGGCGAGGGAUUGAUGCCUUACAUAUGAAGACUCGGGCAGCUGAGAAAAAGUGCGUGCUUUACCAGGAAAUGAGAAGUCUAAGGGGCCAGUCACACCAAAAGCGUUUAUGGUAGUUGCCUUUUUUG